rnacentral:rRNA from 2 species
CUAUACAUGCAAGUCGAGCGAAUCUUGAGGUGCUUGCACCUCUUGGUUAGCGGCGGACGGGUGAGUAACACGUGGGCAACCUGCCUGUAAGACUGGGAUAACAUCGGGAAACCGAUGCUAAUACCGGAUAAUCCUUUUCCUCUCAUGAGGAAAAGCUGAAAGUCGGUUUCGGCUGACACUUACAGAUGGGCCCGCGGCGCAUUAGCUAGUUGGGGAGGUAACGGCUCCCCAAGGCGACGAUGCGUAGCCCACCUGAGAGGGUGAUCGGCCCCACUGGGACUGAAACACGGCCCAAACUCCUACGGGAGGGAGCAGUAGGGAAUCUUCCCCAAUGGACGAAAGUCUGACGGAACAACCCCCCGUGAACGAUGAAGGCCUUCGGGUCGUAAAGUUCUGUUGUUAGGGAAAAAAAAGUAUCGGAAUAACUGCCGGUACCUUGACGGUACCUAACCAGAAAGCCACGGCUUACUACGUGCCAGCAGCCGCGGUAAUACGUAGGUGGCAAGCGUUGUCCGGAAAUAUUGGGCGUAAAGCGCGCGCAGGCGGUCCUUUAAGUCUGAUGUGAAAGCCCACGGCUCAACCGUGGGAGGGUCAUUGGAAACUGGGGGACUUUGAGUGCAGAAGAAGAAAGCGGAAUUCCACGUGUAGCGGUGAAAUGCGUAGAGAUGUGGAAGAACACCAGUGGCGAAAGGCGGCUUUCUGGUCUGUAACUGACGCUGAAGGCGCGAAAGCGUGGGGAGCAAAACAGGAUUAGAUACCCUGGUAGUCCACGCCGUAAACGAUGAGUGCUAAGUGUUAGAGGGUUUCCGCUCUUUAGUGCUGCAGCUAACGCAUAAGCACUCCGGCUGGGGAGUACGC